rnacentral:SRP_RNA from 1 species
GCUAGUGCAGUAGUGCAUGCCUAUUGUCUCAGCUACUCGGGAGGCUGAGGCAGGAGGACCCCUUGAGUCCAGGAGUUCUGGGCUACUGUGGGCUAUACUGGUUGGGUGAUGGUACUAAGUUCAUCAUCAAUAUGGUGACCUCCUGGAAGCAGGGAACCACUAGUUUGCCUAAGGAGGGGUGAAUCGGACCAGGUAGUCAACGAAGCAGGUCAAAACUCCCAUGCUGAUCAGUAGUGGGAUUGGGCCUGUGAAUAGUCAUGGCAUUCCAGCCUGGGCAACAUCAGUGAGACCCUAUCUCU